ACUUGCACACAAUCCCUGUGAAAGGUUUUGGACUGAUGAUUGGGAUAUCCAUCUUCUCCUGUGUGCUUCAGCAACAGGGCAAGGCAAGAUGCUUUACCUCGAAAUAGGCUGCUGCUUGGUUGCGGUUGCUGGUGCGGUACCAUUGGAGUCGGUUGGAAGCCAGCUCCUCCCAACUCUUAAUGUUGGCUUCCAUUUUCUUGAGAUGGUUCAGUGACAGUAACAUUUAUUGAUGCCAUCAAAAUGCCCCAGCAUGUACUGAGGACCAAAGUCAGAGCAACAUUGCUGUUCCUAAAACAAUUUGGUUUGACUUCUGCUUGCCAUCCUGACAUAAACCUAUACCAACUCCAGGUGCUGCUGCAGGGGUUUGGAGACCAAGGUUAUUUUGCUGUAGGGGAAGAAAAUCCAUAGGUUAUAUGUGGGUUUGGAAGAAGACAGCUUAUUCUGUGGUGCUACUGUCAGAACCGCAAGAGGAAAACCAAGUGCUGCCGCGACUGAGAUCUGUGAUUAUAGACAUCGAAUUUUCUUCUAGUGUUUCACUCACUGACAGUGAAAUUACCAAUCAGUUCCGCUUCCCAUUUCCCAUGUACUAGCAGAUACAAACAAUGUUAAAAACAACCUUGUGCUUGAAAACAUUUCAUAUUAAGGUUUAUUAAACUCCUUUUGCCCAAUCAUUUUCCUUUACCAAACCUACAU